rnacentral:lncRNA from 1 species
UAAGUGCUGUACAGAGUGGCUCACGUCCCAGCAGCUUCCUUUGGAUUAAGGCUUCUCCCCUGGUCUUUCCGUCCUGGGGACACGGAAGGGUUACAGGGGCUGGAGGAGGGGAAGAGGAAGUGAGGUCGGAGGGGAGGGAGGGAGAGAGGGAGGGGCCCCGCGCGGAGACCGGGCUGCGGCGCCCGCGCCUGGAAGGUGGACGCUGGACGCUGGAAGCUGGAAGCAGCCACCGGCAGGUGCGCCGGAGGAGGCCGCUAGGCGGUUCUUGGGGACACAGAAGGACGAAAGGGCAGAACAUAAUGUGGAGUUAGGUGGAGAUUAGGACAAGAUGGUGGGACCUGGAACAACGGUUCUCAGAUGUGGUCCGCGGAUCCUGGAGGGGGAGGGGCGCGAGUAUCCGCGAGCUCAAAACUAUUUUCGUAAUGAUCCUAAGGCCGAACCAUGAGCCUUUCUCACCGUAUUGACAUUUGCACGAGUGGUGCAAAAGCAACAGUGCGGGAAACAGCUGGCGGCUUAGCGUGAAUGAGGACAGAGGCACCAACUAGACCGGUAGUGAUUUUAUUGCUCAUUGCCAUGCCCUCUCCGUCUUUUUUAAAAAAAAUGUCUAUUAAUAAGGUAUCCUUGGGUAUACAUCUUUCUAAUGUUCUAUAUAAUAAAAAUGGGAAGUGGGAAUGAAGCCUUGUGCGGCAGACCUGAGUAAGAUGGUGUCUCCCGGGAAAGCCCUGAAGCUUGCUGGAGCCGUGAGCUGAAGCAGCUGCUUUUUCCUUGUAGCUGGAAAGAUUAACUGAUAGAGAAACCAUAGUGAUUCGGACCUGCAUGUUGGCAGAUAUUUUCUCAAAAAGAAAUGAAAGGAGCUGGUCACUUCAAGAAAAUAAUUGACAUUAUUUUUUGUCAAUGAUACAAUUGGAGCUUUCAAGGGAAAAUUAGAAUUUUGGAAAACUUGUCUAUACCACCCUGAGCUGGAGAGCUUCCCAAUUCUUAAAGAUGUUUCUAAUGAGAUUAGUGGUUUUAUCAAAUGUGAUUUUUUUUCAUAUUGUAUAAUAAAAUGUGUCAACUUUUGGAAGAUCUCCAUACCUCAGUGAUGCGAUAUUUUCCAAAUGAACAAUGCAUGAGUGCAUGAGUAAAAGAUCUAUUCAAGAAUGGAUUUGAAAAAGGAAAAAUAAAAUCUUUUAAAAAAGGGGGCCAGCCCCGUGGCCAAGUGGUUAAGUUCACACACUCCACUUCAGAGGCCCAGGGUUUCGACGGUUUGGAUCCUGGGCUUGGACAUGGCACCACUCAUCAGGCCAUGCUGAGGCGGCAUCCCACAUGCCACAACUAGAAGGACCCACGACUAAAACUAUAUAACUAUGUACCAGGGGACUUUGGGGAGAAAAAGGAAAAAUAAAAUCUUUAAAAGAGAAUGUAUUUAGGGGCCUGCCUGGUGGCGCAGCAGUUUAGCAAGCACAUUCCGCUUCUAUAGCCCGGGGCUCGCUGGUUCGGAUCCCGGGUGCAGACAUGGCACCGCUUGGCACGCCGUGCUGUGGUAGGCAUCCCACAUAUAAAGUAGAGGAAGAUGGGCAUGGAUGUUAGCUCAGAGCCAGCCUUCCUCAGCAAAAAGAGGAGGAUUGGCAGCAGUUAGCUCAGGGCUAAUCUUCCUCAAAAGAAAAAAAAAGAAUGUAUUUGAAUGUGACAAGAGUAGGAAAGGUGCAUAGAUGUUUCAGAUUCCACGUUGCAAUUAACCUUUGAGAAACUAUCACUUGUACAUUUUGUUAUAGUAAAAGAAUGCCCUGGAUGGGGCCUCACCUUGUCCUGUGAGCAGCCCAUGCAAGUCAGGGUACCCCUGGUGCUUAGGGUGCCCACCACGCCCACAUACAUCCCCUCAGGCCUGGACCAUGGUGCAGCGCUGGUACAUGAACCAGUCCCAGGACGACUUGACGUGGCCCCACAGCCUGGAGCCACUGCUGCCCGCUGUGCCUGGAGCAGCUGUGCCAGCUCAGAGUCCUUUACUGGAAGCUGACAAAUAUGAGAAUGAUCCAGAAUUAGAACAGAUCUGAAAAGAGGAACUACUCCUAGAUGGACAUAAGAGCCAUAUGCAAAGAUAAACUGCCAAAUUGUGAAAAAAAGAUGGAGGUGUUUUAUGAGGAAGGAGCAUCUGCACUCGGAUGUAAGAUUUGCUGCAUCCUGGAGGGCAGCGGACACUUUGAUGUAAGAGGACUAGUGGAUCCAGAUUUUCAUGGAGAAAGGAGACAUGAUAACUCUUCUUGCAGGAAUUUAUCACUGCUUCACCGUGGAUGAGAAGAACUACAUGACGCCAUGUGGCUGUUUGUGGGAGGAGCAGUGUGGACCUCGUACAACUGGCCAGCUGACCAUUUCUAGGCUCAAGCACGUGAAAUUUUUGGCAUAGACAACAUAUUGAUGCUUCCUGGGAGCUAACACACCCUUUGUAAAGAUCCCAAACGUGAUAACUGAGCAGAAAAUCAAUCACUUUCUCUUUGCUUUUAUAUCGUAGGCUUAAAGCUAGAUUAUCUUUCUUUUGCAAGAUUAUUUGAUCAGACUUUUUUUUUUCUUUUUUGAGGAAGAUUAGCCCUGAGCUAACUACUGCCAAUCCCCCUCUUUUUGCUGAGGAGGACUGACCCUGAGCUAACAUCCAUGCCCAUCUUCCUCUACUUUAUAUGUGGGACACCUACCACAGCAUGACUCAAAUGAAAGUUUUAUCUCCUGAAAUGUAACUGCUUAGAUGCUCUAUCUGGACAUGAUUCUUAGACUUUGAACCAGCUUAUCAGUCAAUGCCAUGCCUGCCUUAUAAGAAGCUUGUGGUAUAAGAAAUAUAUUGGGUCUUUGUCCCUGGUUCCUGGCACAGAGCUACUAAAACCCUCGGAAUUUCCUAAGUGACAGGAGUGGCCUUUGUUAUUCAUAAGCAGCCCCUUUGAGCAUCCCUGUUCCACUGAGACUGAAGCUCCUGUGCUCAGGACCCUUCUGGACCUCGCUCUGUGUCCUUCCUCAUCUGGCUGUUCGUCUGUGUCCUUUAUAAUAAAUGAGUAAAUGUAAAUCCAGGUUUCCCUGAGUUUUGUGACCUGUUCUAGCGAACUAUGGGCCCCGAUGAGGGGGUCAUGGGAACCCCCAAUUUAUAGCCAGUCAGUCAGAAGUACAAUUGUCCUGGAUUUGCAAUUGGCAUCAGUCUUAUGGGGCUGAGCCCUUAAUUUGUAGGAUCUGAGGCUAACUCCAGGUAGAUGGUGUCAGAAUUGAGUUAAAUUGUAGGACAUUCAUUCCUCCUGAGAAUUGGAGAAUUACUUGGUGUGGGAAAACUAACUAGAAAGGUGUAAUGGUAGAUGAUAUUACUAACCAGAUAGAAGACACUUUUUUCUCCCAAAAUUAUGCCUCGGAGUGAGGAGUAGUAAGGGGGAAGAGCUCUCCUAUUAGGGCACACUCUCAGUGGCAUAUGCCACAUGCCACUUGCAACUUGCCUGUUCAAAAUAAAGAAACUGCCUUAAUUUAAAUUUGUAAAAAGGCCACCUGUGUCUGGCCCCCCUCCUGCUGCACUGAAACCUCAAAUUCCACAGACUUUGCAUGAGGGCUCUAAUUCUGUAUGCUGCGUGUGCUUGUUUUCUCAUCUCUUAUUCUUUUUAAAUUCAUGCUUAACUACUCUGGGAGAGAAGAGCUGUAAACAGUUUUAAUUAAACCAUACUUAUAGAAACCGACUUUCUUAUACUCUAUGCGUUUGGCAUUGCUGUUCUUGAAAAAUUAAAAGGUCUUUGAUAAAUGGGGGGGGGGAGAAUAUCCUCAGUAUCUGAAACAGCUGUAAAAAUACUCCUUUCUUUUCCUUUCCCAACUACAUGUCUCUGUGAGGCUGGAUUUUCUUCAUAUACUUCAACCAAAACAAACUUCAGCAGCAAACUGAAUGCAGAAGCGAGCGCGAGAAUCCAGCUACUGCCAGUAAGUCAGACACAAAGAGAUAUGCAAAAACAUAAACAAAGCAACGCUUCUCGGCUUCUGCAAGCAGGCUUUCUCCACCCAGACAACGGCUGUCAGCCUGUCCGGACGCACAUCCUUCGAGCUCAGCAAUCCAAGAGGGAUAGGACUUUCCUCUCCAGCUCCAAUCUUAAACUCUUGGUAAAAGCUCUGAUAGGCUUGGUUUUUCCGGAUCACACGCUCUUUCCUUGGAUCAAUGGCUGUGGCCAGGGGCUGUGAUGUAGGAUGACUGGCAGCCCCUAAUUGAAUGGCAGAACUGGACUAGAGAAGGAGCGGUUGAUCGCCAAAAGAUGGAUGAGAGAAACAGUCAUGGCCAAUGGGAAGAGCUGGGGCCACCCCCCUGAUGUGUAUCUACGACAGAUGUAGCGUUUAUGUUAUUGGGGACAAGGACUAUACAUGCCC